rnacentral:ncRNA from 15 species
UGUCUCCUCCACCUCCUCUAAUGGUGGAUUCAGCCCCUAGCUCCUGAGCUAGGGGCUUUUUUUC